rnacentral:rRNA from 1 species
AUUGAACGCUGGCGGCAGGCCUAACACAUGCAAGUCGAGCGGAUGAGAGGAGCUUGCUUCUCGAUUCAGCGGCGGACGGGUGAGUAAUGCCUAGGAAUCUGCCUGGUAGUGGGGGACAACGUUUCGAAAGGAACGCUAAUACCGCAUACGUCCUACGGGAGAAAGCAGGGGACCUUCGGGCCUUGCGCUAUCAGAUGAGCCUAGGUCGGAUUAUCUAGUUGGUGAGGUAAUGGCUCACCAAGGCGACGAUCCGUAACUGGUCUGAGAGGAUGAUCAGUCACACUGGAACUUAGACACGGUCCAGAAUCCUACGGGAGGCAGCAGUGGGGAAUAUUGGACAAUGGGCGAAAGCCUGAUCCAGCCAUGCCGCGUGUGUGAAGAAGGUCUUCGGAUUGUAAAGCACUUUAAGUUGGGAGGAAGGGUUGUAGAUUAAUACUCUGCAAUUUUGACGUUACCGACAGAAUAAGCACCGGCUAACUCUGUGCCAGCCGCCGCGGUAAAAC